GCACUUUGUUUAGGAAAUACCACCGUGAAAGUCCACUCACCUGCAGCCCGAUGGUCCCAUCACCAGAACCCAAACCUCUGGAGUAGGGAAGGAAAGGCUUCCCACUGAGCCACUCUGCAGGAGAAUCUCCGUGAUGGCUGAUGGAGAAGGGACCACCCCAUGGUCAGAAUGUUCACACCACUGUUCUUUACGUCAGACACAGGUCAAAAGAAGGACCAGACAACAUGGUAAUCCCUCCUCUCUCUCGUCAAUUGGACUCCUGGAGCUCCGCCUGGGACCUAGCCGUGAAUCUCUCUGCAUCUGCUUCCAUCAGUCACUGGAUGAGGGCUCUAUGAUGACAGUUAGGUAUAGAACUGGUCAUCUGAUCACCAGUUCUAUAAUAUGGCAGGAUAUAAGAUUAAUUAAAAAAAAAUCAGUAGCCCUCCUGUAUACAAAUGAUAAAUAGGAUGAGAAAGAAAUCAGAGAAACAUCACCCUUUACAAUAGCCACAAAUAAUAUAAAAUACCUUGGGGUAACUCUAAUUAAGCAAAUGAAGGACCUGUAUGACAAGAACUUUAAGUCUCUGAAGAAAGAAAUUGAAGAUGAUAUCAGAAAAUGGAAAGAUCUCCUAUAUAAAGCAAUGUUUAAGCUUCAUUACUUCAAGUAAAUAGUCUCAUGAAACAGACCUGUAGAGGAAGAAUCUGACCCAUUUAAACACGUGUGACGAGAAGCCUCACCUAAGUUGUCAUACUUUAUUAAAUUUUAUUAAAAAAAUAUUUGUUUUUAUUUUA